rnacentral:piRNA from 1 species
UGAUUCUGGUCUGUGUGCUUAGACU